AACGAACGCUGGCGGCAGGCUUAACACAUGCAAGUCGAACGCCCCGCAAGGGGAGUGGCAGACGGGUGAGUAACGCGUGGGAAUCUACCCCGUUCUACGGAACAACUGAGGGAAACUUCAGCUAAUACCGUAUACGCCCUACGGGGGAAAGAUUUAUCGGAAUUGGAUGAGCCCGCGUUGGAUUAGCUAGUUGGUGAGGUCACGGCACACUAAGGCGACGAUCCAUAGCUGGUCUGAGAGGAUGAUCAGCCCCACUGGGUCUGAGACACGGCCCAGACUCCUACGGGAGGCAGCAGUGGGGAAUAUUGGAUAAUGGGCGCAAGCCUGAUCCAGCCAUGCCGCGUGAGUGAUGAAGGCCUUAGGGUUGUAAAGCUCUUUCAGUGGGGACGAUAAUGACGGUACCCACAGAAGAAGCCCCGGCUAACUUCGUGCCAGCAGCCGCAGUAAUAC
rnacentral:rRNA from 1 species